rnacentral:rRNA from 1 species
UAGGGAAUAUUGGUCAAUGGAUGCAAGUCUGAACCAGCCAUGCCGCGUGCAGGAAGAAGGCCUUCUGGGUUGUAAACUGCUUUUGUCAGGGGAUAAAAUUUCCUUGCGAGGAACAUUGAAGGUACCUGACGAAUAAGCCACGGCUAACUACGUGCCAGCAGCCGCGGUAAUACGUAGGUGGCAAGCGUUGUCCGGAUUUAUUGGGUUUAAAGGGUGCGUAGGCGGUUCUGUAAGUCAGUGGUGAAAUACUCCAGCUUAACUGGAGGGGUGCCAAUGAUACUGCAGAACUUGAGUACAGAUGAGGUAGGCGGAAUUGACAGA